UCUCUUAGUAAUGGCGAAUGAACAGGGAACAGUUCAGCAUGGCAAUCGGGGCCCGCGGCCUUGAAUUGUAGUCUUGCGACGCUUUGCCAGCGGAGGCUCAGAUGUAAGGCUUCUGGAAAGGAGCAUCGAAGAGGGUGAGUAUCCUGUUUGUCAUCUGAAUGCUUCCGCAAACAGCAGGCGUUCUGAGAUUCACGUUCCUCGGGAUUGGAGCGCAAAGUGGGUGGUAAAUUUCAUCUAAAACUAAAUAUGGGUUUGAGACCGAUAGCAAACAAGUACCCUGAGGGAAAGGUGAAAAGGACUUUGGAAAGAGAGUUAAAAGUGUCUGAAUUUGCUGAAAGGGAAGCGGAUGAAACCAGCUGUUCUCUGCAAGAUUGUCGCGUGUUUCAGUGCUUGGUAGGUCUCCCAGCGCAAGCGGGGGGCUUGCAGGUAAGCUGUUACGUGCGGUGUCUCUUGCAGGGCAGGUCAAUAUCGGUUCACCUGCGAGGAAAGCACCGGGCACAUGGUAGCUCGCUUCCGGGUGUGUGAAUAUUAUCGGUUGGGCUCACGGGUGCACUGAAGUCGGCGCGUCUGGUUGUCGCAUGCUCUCCUCCCUGCUGGAGCUUCGGUUUCGACUUUGAGGGGGCUGCGCGUCAGUUGCAUGGAUAAUGACCAAAUGGUUUCAUUCGACCCGUCUUGAAACACGGACCAAGGAGUCUAACGUAUGUGCAAGUUCACGGGCGGGAAAACCUGCUUGCGCAAUGAAAGUGACUGCUGGGAUUGUUGCACCAGCAACCGACCAAUCGACUGUGAGAGGUUUGAGUAUGAGCACAUCUGUUAGGACCCGAAAGAUGGUGAACUAUGCCUGAGAAGGGUGAAGCCAGGGGAAACUCUGGUGGAGGCUCGUAGCGAUACUGACGUGCAAAUCGUUCGUCAUACUUGGGUAUAGGGGCGAAAGACUAAUCGAACCAUCUAGUAGCUGGUUCCCUCCGAAGUUUCCCUCAGGAUAGCAGGAGUUGAACAGUCUUAUCAGGUAAAGCGAAUGAUUAGAGGCAUCGGGGACGCGUUGUCCUCGACCUAUUAUCAAACUUUAAAUGGGUAAGAUCCAGGGGUUGCUUGGGUGAACUUCUGGGAUAGAUGACAACUCUAAGUGGGCCAUUUUUGGUAAGCAGAACUGGCGAUGAGGGAUGAACCUAACGUUUGGUUAAGGUGCUUAACUGCUCGCUCAUCGGAUACCAUAAAGGGUGUUGGUUCAUUUUAACAGCAGGAC
rnacentral:rRNA from 1 species